GCCAGCAGCCAUAUCACCCUGCAACUAACAACUGGCCCCACUAAAGCUAAGCAGGUGUGAGCCUGGUCAGUACCUGGAUGGGAGACCUCCUGGGAAAAACUAAGGAUGCUGCUGGUC
rnacentral:rRNA from 1 species